rnacentral:rRNA from 1 species
UCGGGAAUAUUGCGCAAUGGAGGAAACUCUGACGCAGUGACGCCGCGUGCAGGAAGAAGGUUUUCGGAUUGUAAACUGCUUUAGACAGGGAAGAAAAAAGACAGUACCUGUAGAAUAAGCUCCGGCUAACUACGUGCCAGCAGCCGCGGUAAUACGUAGGGAGCAAGCGUUAUCCGGAUUUAUUGGGUGUAAAGGGUGCGUAGACGGGAAGGCAAGUUGGUUGUGAAAUCCCUCGGCUUAACUGAGGAACUGCAACCAAAACUAUCUUUCUUGAGUGCUGGAGAGGAAAGUGGAAUUCCUAGUGUAGCGGUGAAAUGCGUAGAUAUUAGGAGGAACACCAGUGGCGAAGGCGACUUUCUGGACAGUAACUGACGUUGAGGCACGAAAGUGUGGGGAGCAAACAGGAUUAGAUACCC